rnacentral:sRNA from 1 species
GAGAAGUUGUAAUAGAAAAACCUAGAGCAAAUGAAACCAAUAUUCCUUCAGAGCAAUUGCUGCCAGGAAAAGAGGCUACCUUACUAGAUUUUGGCUGGAGAAGUGCAUUUAAAGAAGUGUCUCUUCCCAUGGCGCACUGCAUAGUAACUGCAAUUGAAGGUUUUUCCACAAAAAUUCUCCAACAGGAACAGAAUGAAAGGUCUUCAGCUGUGAGCUAUGCUAUGAACCUUGUAAAUGUCCAGCAAGUUUGGCAAGACAGCCAUAUGUUUCCUGAGGAGGAACAACCAAAGAAAAUUGGAAAAUUUUGUUCUGACAUCAUGGAAAAACUUGACACAAUGCUUCCACUGGCUCUGGCAUGCAGAGAUGAUUCUUUUCAGGAAAUUAGAGCAAACUUGGUGGAGGCCUGUUGUAAAGUGGCAACAGCUGUCCUGCAGAGACUGCAAGAGAGAGCCAAGGAGGUUCCUUCCAAAGCACCCCUGAAAAACUUGCACACAUACCUCUCCACGGCGGUGUAUGUCUUCCAGCAUUUCAAGCGAUAUGAUAAUUUGAUGAAGGAAAUGACUAAAAAACCCAUAUUCCUGGUGCCUGUCCAACGAUAUCAGGAAUUCAUCAACACUCUACAGUUUCAGGUUACGAACUACUGCGUCAGAGUUUGUGCUACAAGCAUUUUACAGGAUGCUGAGAGCCACCACUGGGAUGACUACAAAGCUUUUUAUGAGGGGGAAAGAUGUUCCUUCUCGAUCCAGAUGUGGCAUUAUUUCUGCUGGUCUCUUCACUACGAUCUCUGGACCAUUCUGCCUCCUAAGUUAGCCCAGGAGAUUCUAGCGGAAGUGCUGGAGAAAUCUUUGAGUCUACUGGCCUCCAGAUACGCUCGGGCCCACCCCAGCCGUAAAAGAACUCCACAGUUAAGACUUGAUGUCACAACAAUUUUGAUAUGUACUGAGAACAUGUUAUGGUCAGUUUGUACAUCUGUACAGAAACUUUUGAAUCCUCAUCAGCAUACAGAUGAUAAAAUUUUUAAAAUUCACACUCAUUGCAAUAAUCUGUUUACAACAUUAGUCAUUUUGACUUCACCAUUAACAGAAUUAUAUAAGACUUUUCAGCAUGGCCUGGAUGAGUCUGCUUCAGAUUCCUUAAAAUCAUUUUUUAAGCAACCAUUAUAUUGGGUUUCUUGCAUAUCACAUUUCUACCCUUCUUUACUCAGGACUCCAUCAGCUGGAGGACUGAAAGCCGAGGGUCAAUUGAAACUGGUCUUAUCCCAGCCAGGUUGUAACUGGAACUUGCUUCUGGAAACCCUACUGCAUCAUGAUGGACUUCUACUGAGAAUCUUGCUGAAGAGCUCAAAACGUACCUUUCAAGAACAAGUUUCUGACACAGAAAAUAACCUGAACCAAGGACCCAGCUUGGUGGAAGCCAUCUUUAAAAUAUUGUACCAUUGCAGUUUUUCUCCACAAACAUUUGCAAAUGUUUUUGUGAGCUACAUGGAAGAAGAGCAAUUAUGGGACUUUUUAUAUAACAUCCCAGGUAUGAGACAUUUACUGUUUGUAAAAGAAAUGUUCUAUAGAUACUUAUAUGUACCUUUAAAGAUGUUUAGAAGUUGUAUUCAUACUGGUUUUGCUGAAUCUGUAGUUUGUAAAAGUUUACCUUACAUUUUUUCAGUGUAAAGCCUUCUGUUGGGAAUCAUUAAUUAUUAGUUCCUGUAAAAUUUCAUAUACUUUGGGACAAGAUGCAAGGGAGGCGGAAGGGAAAAGAUUUUCUUUUUUUAUUAAUUAGGGAAUGUUCUAUCAUAAAAAUUUAUUUUAAUAUUUAUCACAGAUUAUGUUUUGCUAUUGAGCAUAUAAGAUAUUAGUAAGAUGUGAAAAGUAUUUUGUGAUUCUUGGGUGCAUUUAUUCAGCAAAUUAAUGGACAAUACUAUUGGUCGAUUUUCUUCAGAUGUAUAAGGCAUUUAUUAUUAUGACCACAGUGUGUCUCUCUACAAGGCAAGCAUAUCCUGUGAUUCCUUUAGAGAGAAUAUAUUUUUCCCAUCUGUGUUGUUCUUCUUCCUUCAGCUAGAGAGAAUAAUAAAGGCAAUGCAGGUUGUAUAUUUGAAACAGGAGGUUUUGAUGGGUUGCUCCACCCUCUGGCAGGUGUAAAAAUUCUCACAUUGUCUUAUCCUUAAUAUUCUGCCUUUAAAUUUUCAUAUUUAAUAUCUUGGGAAAACAAAGGAUGAAAACUUAGACAAUGAUUUAUAUUAUUAUCCUGCUAUUCAAAUAGUGUUUUUUAUCAUUUACAUUUAGUUUUCAACCUAUAAGCUUUCUUUUAUCCUGCUUUGGAAACUGAAUUUUCAUAAAAUAUUUCCUAGGCUCCAUAUAAAGGAUCUAACUAGUUCAUAAUCAUGGUUUCACUCCUCCCAGACUUUUUGACUAUCCUCCAGAUAUUACUUGAAUAUCAUUCUAGCUGUUUUAAAGUCAUUAUGUUUCAUUUUCUCUUGGUCAUUAUCCCUAUAAAAUAGCAAUAGAUAACUUUAUGUUAUGAUUUCCAAAAUCCAAAUCUGUCAUUUAAAGUUUCUGUAAUAAUGAUCUCCUUUUAAAAUGUUAUCUCCUAGUUGCCAUGCAUUCCCUUACUGCUUCUUGCUUCCCAAAGGAAGGGCAUAUUUCUAGGUAAAAAGGCUGAAUUAGAAGCUUGUUGUGUUUCUGAUGUAGUCUUUAUUGAAUUGAAAGAAAAACGACCUUGAAAGUUCUGCCACCCUCUCCUGAUUUUAGUUGUUUCUGGGGAAGUAAGAGCUGGAUUUUCUCACAAGAUUAUAAAGAAUCAGUGACCCUCAUGCUUCAACCACUAUUUAUCCUUCAACUAUUAGGUUCUUGAACCAUCUUUGACACUCAGCACAAAACUAGACUGAAAAUGACCUAGAAGAUAUAAAUGGAUUUCAGGUGCUGCUAGGGAAAAUAAAACUGUUUCUUGCUCCUAAUUUGACAUCUCUCAAUCUACAUAUUGAGCAAACCCUCCCCCACAUGGUCAGACAAGUCUCUGGAAGCAGACGUUGUACAUAUUCAUAGAGCCUGAAUUAUGUGUGAAAGCUCAAAGGGGCAGAACUUCAAAUGGGUGAAACUCCCUUACCCUUUAUACAAGUUGUUGCUCCAUAAACAUUAAAUAUUCUCUGGAACCUGAUACCUGCAGUGGUUAUGAGGGUCUGAACUUUUCUCUUUUCUCUCCCAUUUAAGUCUUUGAAAAGAUCUUUUUUGUUUUUUUCUGUUAGCAAUAAUGGUUAUUUUAAAAACCCUAAUAAGAUAAUACAAGGUACUAAUUCAUAACAAAAUUAAGCCUUUUACUAUGACUUUUGUUUAAUUUGGAAACAUAACAUGUUUACAAGAAAUACAGCUGAGACAUAUAAUCAUAAUCCCACAAUAUUUACAUUUUAUUACUAAUAGAUCUAUGCUUCAGUAUAUAUAAUUAACCCACCCAGAUUAACUAGAGUACGUUAUUUUAAAACUUCACUGCUGUAGUUUCCUCCUGCUAAAUCACUGUCUAUGAUUUCAGCAUAGUUUACCCAUAAAACAUCACAGUCUUAUCAUUUUAGGGUAAAAGGACAAAGAUGAAGUGGUCAGUAUCUUCAUCUUAUUGUUGAGUAAACAAAAAGCAGAAAUAUUAAGAGAGUUGCCUAAGACUGUCCACCAAUUAAGUUGGACAAGUCUUAGCACAAGAAACCAGAUCUCCUCUCACCUAAGCCAGCAGUCCCCAACGUUUUUGGCACCAGGGACCAGUUUGGUGGAAGACAAUUUUUCCACCAGGAGGGGGAUGGUUUCAGGAUGAAACUGUUCCACCUCAGAUCAUCAGGUAUUGGUUAGAUUCUCAUAAGGAGUACACAACCUAGAUCCUUUGCAUGCGCAGUUCACAAUAGGAUUUGUGCUCCUAUGAGAAUCUAACGCGCUUCUGAUUUGACAGGAGGGGAAGCUCAAGCAGUAACGCUCACCCACCUGCUGCUCACCUCCUGCUGUGCGGCCCGGUUCCGAACAGGUCACGAACCAGUACUGGUCUGCAGUCUAGGGGUUGGGGACCCUGUCCUAGGCCAUGCUAUUUCUCGUUUUUUUCUAUUAGACUAAAUUUUUUGAGACACUACUUUUAUGAACACAUGAAUUCAGUAAUGAAUUAUACAAUCUGAUUUUAUAUUUAGGGUUCUAGGGAGGAAUGACAAGAAGGAAAAUACCCACUUAAGAUUGCUACAAAAGCUAUAAGUACAAAAAAUAAUUAAGUCAGUGACCUAAUGUGGGUGUUUCUAAGGCCAGUGCACUCUGUAAGAAAUAAAUUUGCUAACAAUCAUUGGACACCUAUGUUUUCAAAGUAGAUCAAGCAUUAUUCAGUUAGACAAAUGAAAAUAUCAAAGCAUACAUUACCUCAGCUGGUUUUUAAGACAAUGUCAGAACAGGCUUGUAAAUGAGGCAAAUACUGUCAAAAAUGCCCAUCUAAUAUGAUUGAUAGUAAUAUACUCAACAAGUAUUGUUCACUUGGCUCCUUGAUAUGGCAUUGGGCUUACUUUUGUUUUCUGAAUCAGUUUUCUUAACUUUCUCACAACCUUUGGGAAAAAAGCUUUCAAUAACCUAGCAAAAAUUCCCAAUUAAGGGUUGAGAUUCAAAGUUUCCACUUUGGUUUUCAGCUCCUCCUCAGCCUCAUAAAGACCUUUAAGAAGUGUUGUUUAGAGAGCAUAUAUACGCUAUAUUGUCUUCUUUUUGCCAAAAUUAAUUUACAGUGCCUUACCUUCCUAUCAGACACAGUGAGUGUCUCUAUUACCUACAUAAAUACCUGCAGCAUAGUAUAGGUCGAUUUUAAAUGUAAGCUUUCACAUAUUGAAAGGCUGUCUUUGUUCUAUGUUGUAACUAACCAUGUAUUCUGAGCCUUUUGUCACCAUUCAGUUUGUUUGCAAUCCACCUUAAAAAUGUUUUAAAAUAUUUUAUUGAUUGAAUACAAUAAAAUUCACUCAUUUCAAGUGAAGAGUUCAGUAAGUUUGACCAAUGUAUAAAUCUGUGUGACAACCACAACGAUAAAGAUAUGGAACAUUUUAUGUCAUCUCCAAAGGUUCUUUCAUUCCCCCUUUGCCGGCCAUUCUCCUUUCAACUCUCAGCCCCAGGAAGACACUGACCUGCUUUUUGUUGUGAUAGUUUACUUUUGAUAUUCUAGAAUUUCAUAUAAAUAGAAAUCUAUGUAUUCUUUUGUGUCUAGCUUCUUUUGCUCAGCUUAAUGUUUUUAAGAAUUUUAUGCUUUAUCAUUAGUUUAUUUCUGCUCAUUGCUGAGCAGUAUUUCACUGAGUAGUACUUUUUUUAUCCACUUACCAGUUGGAUGGACAUUUUGAUUAUUUCUAGUUUUUGACUACAAUGAAUAAAGCUGCUAUAUGAAUACUAGUGUAUAGGUCUUUGUGUGACUACAGUCAUCCCUCAGUAUAUGUGAGGAAUUCAUUCCAGGAACCAUUCCCCUUAUUAAAAACUCCAUAUACUCGGCCAAGCAUGGUGGCUCACGCCUGUAAUCCCAGCACUUUGGUAGGCCAAAGUGAGCGGAUCACCUGAGGUCGAGAGUUUGAGACCAGCUUGACCGACAUGGAGAAACCCCGUUUCUACUAAAAAUACAAAAUUAGCUGGGCAUAGUGGCAUGUGCCUGUAAUCCCAGCUACUCAGGAGGCUGAGGCAGGAGAAUCACUUGCACCCGGGAGGCGGAGGUUGCAGUGAGCUGAGACGCCAUUGCACUCCAGCCUGGGCAAUGAGCAAAACUUCGUCUC